UAAAUCCCUUUUCUGAGGUUUCUUCGACAACCCAUAUUAUAUUUUCUGGGUUUUGUUUGAUGGGAGUGUUUGAUUAGAUUAGUAGUUGGAAUGGGAUUUUUUGUCGAAUGUAGGGAAAUGAUAUUCAACUCUGUAUGUUCGUCUGUCAAGGUUUUUUUUUUUUUUUUUGUUAUACCUUUUGAAUUUUCACAAACAACCCAUCAUUUUUUUUCAAACAAAUUGUUGGACAUUUUCUAUUUCUUUUGUUUUUGUUUAUAUAGUUAUGGAAUUCUUUUAAGCUGAAAUUACUCUAAUACACAAGGGAAAAAAUUCUCUAAAACCAUAAUAAAAUUGAUAAUAAUGAGAAUUGUUCUUUUACAACGGCAACUGAUAUGGCAUAUAUAAGCCUUGACUUCUAAACUUACCCAAAAUAGUAAAGUUUCUUGAAACAGUAAACUUACUAAAAAUGGUAAAUAUGUCUAAACUGACUCAAACUCUCUGUAAUGACUCAAAAAGGACUUUUAAGUUAUGAUUGGACUCUUCAGCACUGAAAAAUAGCAAAAUCGUUGCUUAAUAAAAAUAGUAAAUUUUGACUUUAAAAUGAAAUUUUACCCUUAAAAUGACUUAUUUUGCAAAAUCCAAAUCUUAAGACUCGUCAAUAGCUUUCCAAUGAUAUCUUAUAUGUAUGAAUCCCAUAACUGGUCGCAAAGCUAUGGCCAUCAGAAGCUAUAGUGUGCGUUAGGCAGUUCAUACCUUACCUCUGCCCUUCCCUACCAAACUUCUUUUAAUGCUAGCCCUCCAUGAAGUCGUCCACAACCUUUCCUAUGUCAUUUGCUUCCACUCAAAGAGAACUUGUCCUCAGAUUAAUUACUGGUUGCGACUACUCCCCUGAUGCAUGAUACUUGAACAAGUCUGCAUUGAGGAAUUAUCAUCGCAUCCUCAGGGGGAUCAACAACAUAUGAGUUCUUAUCAAUCUUUGUAAGUCUCUGGUACUGACUUCUUGUCCUGUCACUUGUGGUAUGUCUUCACUGGAAAAUGCACUUUCCAAGUUACCUUCUUGGAGCACUCGAGACGCUUGCCCUUGUCAAGUGACAAUCCAUUCAGGGAACGUUUAAUGUCAUCUCCUCGAACUCCCUCUUCAAAUGGCAUUAAUUUUCCUGGAAAUGUCCAUCAUGUGUUUGCACAUAGAUGAUCAUAUUCCAUGUUCCACACAUACUUAUGCUGAGAAUUCAUUUUGCCUCUAUCGCAGCUCAAGAUCCUAGGUGCAUUACCACUCCCUUGUUACAAAUCAUUCAGAAGGAGGGAUUGCCCCUUCACUUGGGAAACUUGGGGUCAGAUCUCCUCUGUCAUAGGACAAGGGUUUGCAUUGGUUCUUUUGAUUGUUGCGUCCACAUGAGAAUUGGAGUUGCUCCCAUCAUGCUAAUGCUCCGCCUUUAAGCUCAUACGCCACUGGAUUUACCUUCUUCUCCUCAGGGAUCUCUAUGUAAUUGAAUAGCUCUCUACCUUAGUGAGCCAAUGGAGGAAGUCCUCGAUAUAGAGCUGGCCAUUGAAGGGAGGUCUACCCUAAGUCAGUAUCCCCAUCUUGCCUAGCACCUCUCUGCCUGUCAUUUUGAAGGAUGAACAUGUUCGUCUCCUUAUUACAAGACUCACUUAUGUCAGGUUGUGGUCUAAAAUUUGGCUUGAAUGCUGGGCCAUGAGCUGGCUGAUUACAAGUUCCUUCGAUGGUCAUGGCCAUUUACCACGAAUCUGAUGGCACUCAAGGCCUCUGAUAACCGAGCAAUUGCCACCUACAUCUCUUGCAUGGAUCGUUGGUUUUCCUAUUGAAAGGCCUUGAACACCGCCAUAUCAUUUCUUGAUUCUUCUCUAUACCGUUUGUAGGAUUGUUGUCAUCCGAUUCGUUGUUGGAAACCAUCGAAUUGAGAAAACAAAAAAAAAAACAUCGCUCUAAUACCAAAUAACUUAACUAAGAGAGUGGAGAAAAGGGGAGAAAGGUCACCGUUUGCUUCCCCACAAGAAGCCUUGAUUACAAGGAAGAAAAAAAAAAUCUCCAAAACAAUAAUAAAAUUGAUAAUAAUGAGAAUUUUUCCUUUACAACACAACUGAUUUGGCUUGUAUAUGCUUAGACUCCUAAACUUAUCUGAAACGGUAAACUUUCCUGAAUUUACUAAAAAUGGUAAAGGCUUCUAACUAGACUCAAACUUAUCUAAAAUGUAUAUUAUAUGUAAUGGAUGUACCAUUGUAUAAAAUCCAGUAAACUGUUGCAAUGUUGUUUUCUUUCUUUUGGAGAUCUUCAUUUUAUUUUUAUUUUUCAUUUAAUGGAUAUGUUCGUUUUUGGGUUGUUUCUUCUUUUAAUUCCUGGAUUUUGGAUGGCACUUUGAGGAAUCAUUUAAUUCUGGAUUUAUUUUUUUUAUAAGGUUAUGCCAUGCCUAUGGCAUGUUGAUUAUUGAGAUAAUGGGUUUUGGCUGCAUAUCAUUCAUGUAAGCUAUUAUUAUGCCUUUCUACAAAAAUAAUAAUAAUAUUAAUAAAAUAAAUAAAUUUGUCAAACAACCUAUCUUUUUUAUUUUUUCUUUUUUAACUUCAUAUAGUAGGUAUUUUUGUUUCUUGGUUAAUCUUGAUUACUGGAAUUGGGUUGUGUCGAAUGUAGUCAAAAUAUGGUUGGCAAACUCGGGGCUCGGACUCGACUCAGCUCACCUGUCUAAUUUGAAGUAGGUGAGUCGAGGCAGUGAUUCGGGCAAGUCAUCUUUUCUUAAUUAAAUCAAUGUAAGGUUAGUAAAAAUCAAAUAAAAUUUCUAUAUAGAAUACCUAUAAAUUACUUAGGUUCACAAUUCACGUGGGAUGUAAGCUUUAUAGAAGUAAAUGAGACAUUGUACUAGAAUAAAUCAUAAAGAGCAAAGCAUCCAACAAGUCUAAUGUGAGUAAGAUCCAGGACAUUCAUCUAGCGGGCCCUUCAUGGAUGUUCUAUCCUAAAAACUAUUUGAAUCCAGUCGUUAAUCAUUCCAAUCUACAUUUUUUCUUCUUAUUCUUGUUUUUUCUUUCUCUUUCUUUCUUUCUUUCUUUCUUCUUCUUCUUCUCUUCUUCUUUUUCUUUUUCUUCUUCUUAAUAGGGUUGACUCAGGUGAGGCACGAAUCAACCUGUCAAGUCAGCCAACCUUGAAUUAUAUGAGUUGAUCAAGAGCAAACUUUGACUUUUAAACUUGGCUAGUUGGCCAACCUUGAGUGUAUAAAUUGAUCCAACGGCAGUUUUUGGCUACCCGGCAUUCAAGUACUCGGGUAAUAGAAUUCUUUAUUUGCUUUUAAUAGCCCAUCCUUUUUCACCAUACUUGGUUUGGGGUGCAUGCAUGUUUGUCAGUCUGUUUUAACUGUUAGAAUUGGUCUUGUACUGAAAUCAGAAGCAUUAUGGCCAAUUUGAUUUGUUGGCAUAGUUUCUUGGUGAUCUGACUUUCAAACUUUUAAGGUUAAAACAGUUUUGAGAAUUCCAUCUUGUAUGGUCAUAACCGUUAGUGUUUGAGAAAGUGGGUUUCUUAUAAUUAGAUAGUAGUGAUAUAAGUGUGUCAGAUUUCCUUGUUCCUCUGUAGAUAACACCAUUCUUGCAUAGGCUUACAAGAUUUAAUGGAUUGAAGACCAUCAUGAACCAUCUUUUUCUAUGGAUUUCUACUCGUAGUCCUUUUUUUGAUAACUUUUCCCAACUCAAAACCUGCAUUCUUGUUUCCUUUUCCUAACUUGAAUUCCGAAGUCUCAAAAAAAUAAAAAAUAAAAUCUCUGUUAGAUGAUUGGUUCACGAGCAUCCCUUGAAGUCCUCAUUUGUAAAGCAAUUUAGGUUUUCAUGUGUCACUCAUUUUCAGUUUGCUACAUCUAAAUAAAACAAGUACCCUUUCUUUCAUCAAGUAAGCGUGCAUCUUAUCAUGUUCAUGUUAUUUGGGCACUUCAAUUCGACUGCUAGACAUGUAGCAUGCAAUGUUUUUACACAUGCAUACUUCCCUCUAGAAAGAAACGGUUCAUCAGAGCUUAUAGAUUUCUUGUUUUUGGUGUUUUAACCUAGUUUUCCAUCUUCUUAUCCUCUUUUUCUUUUUCUUUUUUUUUUCUUUUUUUUCUCUUGCUAUUAUAUUUGUAAGAGUCUUCUAUUUCUGGACUGCCAUUCUAUGCCCACCAUUUGACAAUUUGCUGGGCAUGUGUCGACACCACUGUGACUAUUUGCGGAAAAGAAAACCAUUUUAUCAUUUUUCUUGAUUUUAUUAUUUCUAUACUUUAUGGAGGAUUGCAGUAUAGAUAUAUGUGUAGAGGAAUCAUAUGAUCCUCCACCUGAGGAUAUGCAUUAUGUACUCAGGUCUUGUAGAAAUCGGACCGUGGUGCAGUUUUCCAGACCAUUGUUACCCCAUCAUGUAGAUGGACCAUGCCCCCGAAAAAAUAUCCUAGCAACUGAACCUGCCCAUUUCAGCUGAAUGGGGCCCAUUGCUGUACUUCUCUUCUUGUCCAUCUAUUAGAAGACAGGCUGAAAGGUUAGGACUGUCCGAUCAAGGAGAAUUCUUUGCAUGGUUCAUCCACAGUGGGGAUCAAAAGACCAUCGAUCGCUGAUCCAUACACACCACAUAUACAAACGGAAAACCCAACUAUAUUUGUGCAUUCCCUUGAUUCGAGAUCUUAUGAUUCAUCCUAUUCUUUAUUAUAACUAAUACCUUUUCAUGUUCUCAUCUGCCUGUAAGGAUAUGUUAGCAUGUCUGAUUUUCCAGGUAGUCAUGCUGGGUGCCUCUAGUAUGCCACUGACAGUAGCACACUUGUCCAUGUAAAAAUCAAAUAGCUCCUCAAGAGUUGUCGGUUGCAUCGAUUGUUUUUGUUCUUUCAGGGAUCAUUCUGCUUAAUGCAUACUUGAUGUAGAUAGAAAAUGACAUGUGGUAGAGAUUGUCUGCCCAAAAUUUCCUAGGGUACCUUCCUUUUAGUUCAAAGUGCGGACAACACUCUCUUCCGUCAUGAUUCUAGUUUUUGAGUUCGAUCUAAGCAUAAAACUCCCAUAUCCAAGCUCGUAACUUCCCGACAGUUUGAGUCAUUUGUCAUGCAAACCCAUGGCCCACCGUAGGGCCCAACAUAUGCUGAUUUUGGACAGUUUAUUUAUAGAGUUGGGGUCUAAAUAUCAAGAGCUACAAGUUACCAUUUGUGGGAGAUAUGGGAGGAUGUGAUGAAUGAUAUUGGGCUGAUUUAAAGAUGUAAUUGAAGAUUUUGAGGAUGUGAUGGAUGAUAUGGGGCUGAUUUAAAGAUGUGAUUGAAGAUUUUGAGGAUUAUUUCUUAGAUUUGCUCUUACAAUUAUUAGGCUUUUACCAUCUUAGGUAGAUGAAUUGAUUUGAAAUCAAUCUCUUAGUUGAGGGGAAUUCUCAUUAAAGAUUCAUUUAGGGUCUAUUUAGGGGAUAGGAGGUAAGCAUUCCAAAAUUUUCCAAGUGUAAGUUUACUUGAGUAUUUAAGAAGAAAUUUGAUGUCAAUAAGGUUAUUUCUCCAUCUCUACUCAAAUAUUAUUGAGUGUGUACUCUUGUCCAUUUCUUUGCGAUUCGAGUGUCGAGAUCAUUGAUGGAUAACUGAGUUGCACCAUUUUGGUAUCGGAGUAGGUCAUCUUUAAAUAUUUUCAACUCUGCAUCAUCUCUUAAUGGUGUCAAAAGUGGGUGACACACGAAGAGUUUGUGCAAGUAGUUCAAUUGAUCUGCAUACUCAUAGAGCGAGUAAAUCAACUCACGCAUACGGUAGGCAAUUUCACUAAUCAAGUGAGAGAGAUCCAGCAUGGAAGGAAUCCAAAAACCGAAGUUGGAAUACGUGGACACAUAGAGGAAGGUUCACGCCAAGGUACUAACCAACAUUGGGCAGCCCUAACCCUAAUGAAUUCUUAGAUUGUUGGAACAUGAUAGAGAGCCCAUAAUUGGGGUCAAAAUUUUGGAAUUCCAUUUUCCGUCACAUGUUGACGAUUUUAUCGAUUAGCUAAGUAAGGUGGAAAAUGUAUUCUAGUACAAGGAAAUUGUAGUCAAUUGAAAGGUUAAGUCAAUAGCCAUAAAGUUUUCCAGUCAUGCGUUAGCAUGGUGGGACGAUCUCCAAGCUAAACGAAUCCAUCAAGGUAAGGAGAAAGUAAAGUCUUGUAAAAGAAAAAGAAGUUAAAAAGGAAGUUCCUACCUACAACUUAUGCCCAUGAUCUCUAUCAAAGAUGCUAAAUCUA